UUAAUUUGAGAGUUUGAUCCUGGCUCAGGACGAACGCUGGCGGCGUGCCUAAUACAUGCAAGUCGAACGAACUCUGGUAUUGAUUGGUGCUUGCAUCAUGAUUUACAUUUGAGUGAGUGGCGAACUGGUGAGUAACACGUGGGAAACCUGCCCAGAAGCGGGGGAUAACACCUGGAAACAGAUGCUAAUACCGCAUAACAACUUGGACCGCAUGGUCCGAGCUUGAAAGAUGGCUUCGGCUAUCACUUUUGGAUGGUCCCGCGGCGUAUUAGCUAGAUGGUGAGGUAACGGCUCACCAUGGCAAUGAUACGUAGCCGACCUGAGAGGGUAAUCGGCCACAUUGGGACUGAGACACGGCCCAAACUCCUACGGGAGGCAGCAGUAGGGAAUCUUCCACAAUGGACGAAAGUCUGAUGGAGCAACGCCGCGUGAGUGAAGAAGGGUUUCGGCUCGUAAAACUCUGUUGUUAAAGAAGAACAUAUCUGAGAGUAACUGUUCAGGUAUUGACGGUAUUUAACCAGAAAGCCACGGCUAACUACGUGCCAGCAGCCGCGGUAAUACGUAGGUGGCAAGCGUUGUCCGGAUUUAUUGGGCGUAAAGCGAGCGCAGGCGGUUUUUUAAGUCUGAUGUGAAAGCCUUCGGCUCAACCGAAGAAGUGCAUCGGAAACUGGGAAACUUGAGUGCAGAAGAGGACAGUGGAACUCCAUGUGUAGCGGUGAAAUGCGUAGAUAUAUGGAAGAACACCAGUGGCGAAGGCGGCUGUCUGGUCUGUAACUGACGCUGAGGCUCGAAAGUAUGGGUAGCAAACAGGAUUAGAUACCCUGGUAGUCCAUACCGUAAACGAUGAAUGCUAAGUGUUGGAGGGUUUCCGCCCUUCAGUGCUGCAGCUAACGCAUUAAGCAUUCCGCCUGGGGAGUACGGCCGCAAGGCUGAAACUCAAAGGAAUUGACGGGGGCCCGCACAAGCGGUGGAGCAUGUGGUUUAAUUCGAAGCUACGCGAAGAACCUUACCAGGUCUUGACAUACUAUGCAAAUCUAAGAGAUUAGACGUUCCCUUCGGGGACAUGGAUACAGGUGGUGCAUGGUUGUCGUCAGCUCGUGUCGUGAGAUGUUGGGUUAAGUCCCGCAACGAGCGCAACCCUUAUUAUCAGUUGCCAGCAUUAAGUUGGGCACUCUGGUGAGACUGCCGGUGACAAACCGGAGGAAGGUGGGGAUGACGUCAAAUCAUCAUGCCCCUUAUGACCUGGGCUACACACGUGCUACAAUGGAUGGUACAACGAGUUGCGAACUCGCGAGAGUAAGCUAAUCUCUUAAAGCCAUUCUCAGUUCGGAUUGUAGGCUGCAACUCGCCUACAUGAAGUCGGAAUCGCUAGUAAUCGCGGAUCAGCAUGCCGCGGUGAAUACGUUCCCGGGCCUUGUACACACCGCCCGUCACACCAUGAGAGUUUGUAACACCCAAAGUCGGUGGGGUAACCUUUUAGGAACCAGCCGCCUAAGGUGGGACAGAUGAUUAGGGUGAAGUCGUAACAAGGUAGCCGUAGGAGAACCUGCGGCUGGAUCACCUCCUUUCUAAGGAA
rnacentral:rRNA from 2 species